ACUUGUAUUCCCCCCAGUGGGAGGAAGCUGACCUGUGGAGGAGGAGUGUCCAGUACUGAGAGCACCAUCUUCUCAGCGGAGCGUGACUUGCUGAUGGGAAGCUACCUGCUGCUGAUCCCUGAGGGAGAAGAGGAGUUGGCAUAUCCUGUAGGAAAGCAGCACAUCAAAAGAGAAAAGAGUACAUUCAUGCAUACAUGGGAGAUGACUACCUUGAGUUCCCAGGGUUGCACUGCUGGCUGCAAACCUUUCAUAGCUGGGACAGACUUUUUGCUGUUCUGACUACAGCAGCGUAGUGGGCUUUUACUUCUAACUGAGGCAGAGAGGCACACUGAAACACGAGUCGUGUCAGAAAACAGACUGUCUAGCUGACCUCCGAAGUAAUAUCAUUUAACAGCAUCAACAAAUGGACUGACAAACUGCUGGAAAAAAUACACAUAAAACAUGGAGCAGCAAUUGCAUGAUUUAAGCCCAUAAGGGCGAUGUAGAAUUGAUGGUCAGAAUCUGUUCCCAAGUGCUUUUGUCAUCAUCUGUUACAAGCACAGUACUCUAGCCCAACUGAUGCAAUUCCCAUGGAUGUCUUGGCAGUACUUGAGUUAUAUCCUGCCCUGAGGGAGCUGACCUUUUCAUCACUGCAAAGGGAAAAAAAAGUCCCUCUUGGAAUUCAAUGACCCUGUUCCAGUUUGACCAUGUACUUUCUGAUGGCUUGCUGAGGUCAUUUGUGUUGACUUAUCCUAUUCCUGUGCAAAAUGAUUUGGCAAAUCUCUUUGGAGGGAGCCCAUGGCUCCGUACUCACUGUGCUGUGUCAUGCUAUGGAGUUGAGCCUCUUGUCUCGGUGUUUCUCAUGAUGCUUUGACUUCUCACCAUAGGCUGGAGCUAAGAGAGAUGCAAGGAGAAGUCAAAAUAGAACAGAGAGAAUCAUAGAAUCACAUGGUUGGAAGGGACCUAUGAGAUCAAGAGAAUCUGCUGCCUCUUGCCCUGAAAAACCAUCCUAAACAACCUGUCUGGGAUCAGAAAAGUCAUGUUGAAUUGUGAAUAAAUGGAGGCAGCAUUCACAGCAAUCCUUUCCUACCAACAGAACGAAAGUAGGAGAUCAUGUGUGUUUGAGGUGUGCCUCAGCAGUAAGGGAUUGGUGGGUGAGAGCAGUGUGUAACUGCUGGCUUGCCAAAUGUCAAGAUCAAAACUACUGAGGGAGAGGGGGAACAAAUCCAUGAAAUAUGGAAACAAAAAUAAGGGGGAGAAUAAGUUGUGGAAAGGAGAAAGAAAACAGAGCUCAGGGAAAAAGCAGGAAGAAUAGUGAAGAGAGUGAUGGAACAAGAAACAAAAACUGAAGAGUGGUGCUUUCCUUUUGCCAUUGGGAGCUUAGUUCAAAAUUAAAAGUAAGAUGUCUGAAAACGAGGGUGAUCAAUGAAGCUGGAAACAGCUGAAAGAAAAACUCUAAAAGGGCUCUUAAGCCAAGGAAAAAACUGGAAAGGAAUUCUUGCCUGUACUGUCAUCAGCAUCUCCUUCUCUCCAUCUCAUUCCUGCAGCAUCAUGUUGCUCACUCAGUUGCUGGAGCACUGAUUAAAAUAGAUAUGGGGGGGGAAGAAAAAAGAGGUGAGCUUUAGCUCUGGUGUGUAUUAGCACAGAAGGCAGCACUUCUGAAUGUUCGUUGUUUAUUUUUCUAGCUGGAAGUUACAGGUAACUUUAAAUGGAAAAGCAAUUGUGGUGGUGCAGCUGAAACUUUUCAUUCAGUGCUCCCCAAGUGGAGCACUGCAGAAUGUCACAGUGGCAUGCUUCAAUCUAUUUCAAAUGACUUUAACAUAAGCAAUGUGGAGAAUCUCUACAAAAGUCAAAGUGGGAACACUGUGCGCCAGUCACAGCUUUGUUUUGAUGCACAGAAAUACAGCUUGCUCUCAGAGUUCUGCUGCUGCUGUUACUGCCCUCAGUGCUUGAAAAAGGAUGUUUCUCCUCAGCUGACAUCUGCCGCUGCUUUUUGAUAAAUCACGUCAGCUCCUUCAGCACAAAAAACACUGGGGGAAAAAAAAUUAAUCAAAAAUGGAGAACAAAAUGGCUCGGAGCACCCUGGGAUGUUAGCUGGGUGUUUGCUAGCCCUCUCGCCCAGUAGUCUGAAUUCCAGUCCAGAGACUGAAUUUUAGGAGCCAAUUCAAAUAUUUGCACCUCUUAACGCUCCUUUUUAAUAGAUAAAUAAAUAAGCCUUUGUUACGGUGCUAUGGAAAAUCUGACAGCAUUUCACAGGGAUCCAGCUGAACAAGCAGUCCUGAGGGCUGAGAUCACUACAGGGACUGUAAGGAGGCCUGGCUGUGCCAGCACAAAGGGAUGCUGCAGCCUGUGCUCCACAGCAGGGCAGUCGGGCUGUUACAUCCCUGGUAGGAUGCAGUCAUCCUGACUAUAAAUCUAGCUAUGCACCGUGAUAAAUGCAGGUGUUCAGGUCUUCUUUC
rnacentral:lncRNA from 7 species